CAGAGGAAUUCGGCUUCAGACUGAGGUGACAUGAGUGAGAAAUUAUAGCCCCUUACACUACAAGGAAGACAUCAAGAUGUUUCUCCCUUUCUCCUGGAUACUUGGAACCUCUGACUGGACGCCUUUUGAUUCAAACUCAUUUGGAUGCUUUUUUCAAGGCAUUGUAGGUGCGUGUGGAAUAUCAGUGCUGUGCAACCUGAUCAGAAUUUAUAACUUCAUUCAAACAUGCAGUGAUUCUGAAACUGAAAACAGAAGUACACAGAGGUCGCCCUCAUCAGGCGGUCCUCUGGGGGGGACCUGGAGAGCCACUCUGCAGUUCUGGUCCCUGGCUAUCCUCCUGUCUCUGGUGGGCUCCAGGGUUUCUUCUCUGAUAGUGCUGGAG